GUUGGAUAUCAUAUCUAGAUGAAAUGAAAGAUAUGUUUUAGAUUUUAAGCAUUGGCUACUAUUUUGAUAUUUUAACAAGUUUUCUUUUUUUUUUUUAACAUCAUAAACUCCCUAUGUAAAUUACACCCAUGUAAGCAUCUAUUAUGUAGGUAAUUUUAUUGUCACUGGCAUGAAUAAGAAACACACAUCAUCGUCACAUGUAAAUAAGAUAAGCAUAUGAUAAUAAACAAGUUAAAAAGCAAUAUCUGUAUAUAUAACUUUAAAAGACACAACAACAACAACAAAACAAAAAAGUACAUAUAAUAACAAACAUACACAUAAUGUGCUGUACAUAGUUGUAAAGAAACAAAAAAAAAAAAUUAUCCACAAAAUUACCCUCAUAUAUACUCUAAUAUCAUUAGAGGUGUUUCUGUCUAUAGAAGCUUAUACAAAGAAGAAGAAGAAGAACUUAAACUUAAAAACUUAAAAAUUUUAAAUUGGACAUUUACCUAUUAAGGUCCAAUAUCCAAAAUCUAAAUACAUGUUAGAUUCAGCAUAUCAUAGAACCCC
rnacentral:lncRNA from 1 species